rfam:Oryza nivara chromosome 4, whole genome shotgun sequence.
AAUAAGUGCAGUUUUAGCACUGUUCAUAUCCAACGUUUGACCGUUCGUCUUAUUUGAAAAAAAGAUUAUGAUUAGUAUUUUUAUUGUUAUUAGAUGAUAAAACAUGAAUAGUACUUUAUGUGUGACUAAUUUUUUUUAAUAUUUUUCAUAAAUUUUUUAAAUAAGACAGAUGGUCAAAAUGCUGAGCACGUAUAUCCAUGGCUGCACUUAUC